rnacentral:tRNA from 1 species
GCCUGGCUGGCUCAGUUGGUAGAGCACGUGACUCUUGAUCUCAUGGUCAUGAGUUCAAGUCCCACGUUGGGCG